AUGAAUAAACCUAGGAAGAAGAGCAGACCUUCCCUACAGGAGACAUCAUGGUGUCCGUGUGCAGAGAGGGGAGUUUCAGGAGUGAGGCCCGGAGAUGUGCCAGGACGAGCCGGGGGCCGAGCACGGGGGCAGCCCCCACCCCUGCACAAACCCCGUGCUCCUAAGGGACCUGGAAGGAAGGGCCACCCAUCCGAGGAGCUUUGCAGAACAAAGGAGGGGGAUGGGGCCAAGGAUGCAAACGGCAGAGUGACGACAGGGUGUGCAUCCCUGCCCUCAUUAACCCACACCGCGCUGCUCUUCACCUUCUGGAGGACAGCAGCAUUGUCCCAGGAGACCUGGCCACUGUCUCCUGUGGGUUUAGAACUUUGGCCUUCGGGAUUCCUAAUUUACCACAACAAGGUGAAAAGGCAAAAUGAGAAAUGAUUUGCCACGGGAACAAGAGACAAAAUAUUGAGGUCCUUAAUAUAUAAAGUUCUCCACGAAAUCAAUAAGAGAUCAACAAACCAUCAUAAUGAAUGUGAGAGCCUGGAUAGUGUGGAUGAUAGAAAAGGCUCACCGGUGGUAUAACUGGUGAAAUUUGCAUCAGUCCUAGGCUUUGGUCUACAAUAUUGCAGGAACGUUGAUUUCUGAGCUCUGUUAAGUGUUUUGUGGUUAUGGAAGACGCUAACCAAGAGGAAGCUGGAUGAAGGGUGUAUAGGAAUUCUCUGUACUGUUUCUGCACCUCUUUUGUAAGUUGCAAAGUAUCUCAAAAAUUUAAAAAUGUCCUAUUAACACUGGACGUAAGCAACCUACAUAAAGCAUGAUAAAUGACAAUGGAUGGAAAACGAUCCACUCUCUAGUAAUCCAAGCAUCGUGGGUGACUUGAGGAGAUGUUCCUGUUAGCCUCUGGUCCAAGGAGACUAACGAGCCACGGCACCCAGACACGAUGAGGGGCCCUGGAGGGGGCACGUCUGGGAGAGCGACGGGGCAUGUGACAGAGCUUGGACGCAGGCCUUGGACUGGAUGAGACGGUGCUGAUGUGGCACCUCCCGAUUCUGCUGUUUACUGCGGUUCUGUAAGUGAAUGUCCUCGUUUUCGGUAAGUACCCAGCGCAAGAUUUAGGGGGCAGGGGACUGGCACCUCCAAGUUAAUCUCAAGCAGCUC
ensembl:lncRNA